UGCAAUAACUUUGAAUGCAGGGAAUAAAAAGUUUCAAUUGAUGGGUGUAAUUGAAAUUUGCAACACUUCAUCUAUCUGCAUUGGUAGAACAAAACCUAGUUGUUUAAUUGAAGUAAAUCAGAGAAGGAGAAUUACCUGUAUGGCCUCUUCAGUGUCAGUGCAAGAUGAGAGUCAGCAGAAACAAUGUGUUACUGGUGAUAAUUUUAUCAGACAACAUCUUCGUAAAUUGUCACCUUAUCAGCCCAUUUUACCCUUUGAGGUGUUGUCCACUCGUCUUGGUAGAAAACCAGAGGACAUUGUGAAAUUAGACGCUAAUGAAAACCCAUAUGGCCCUCCUCCAGAGGUAAACGAAGCUUUGGGGUCUAUGAAAUUUCCGUAUAUUUAUCCUGAUCCUGAAAGCCGUACGUUGCGUGCGGCCCUUGCUGAAGAUUCUGGCCUUGAAGCUGAGUAUAUUCUUGCAGGGUGCGGUGCAGAUGAACUCAUUGAUUUGAUAAUGCGGUGCAUAUUGGAUCCUGGUGACAAGAUUGUUGACUGCCCACCCACUUUCACAAUGUAUGAAUUUGAUGCAGCUGUAAAUGGUGCACAUGUCAUCAAAGCGCCUAGGAACCCAGACUUUAGCCUGGAUGUAGAACGGAUAGCCGAAGUGGUUGAACAUGAGAAACCGAAGUGCAUAUUCCUGACAUCGCCUAAUAAUCCUGAUGGGAGUAUAAUUGAUGAUGAAACUCUUUUGAAAAUACUUCGCCUGCCCAUAUUGGUAAUAUUGGAUGAAGCAUAUGUUGAGUUUUCUGGGAUGGAGUCUAAGAUGAAAUGGGUGAAGAAGCAUGAGAAUCUGAUUGUUCUUCGCACGUUCAGCAAAAGAGCUGGUUUAGCUGGACUCAGAGUAGGAUAUGGAGCAUUUCCAAAGAGUAUUAUUGAAUUCCUUUGGCGAGCAAAGCAACCAUAUAAUGUGUCUGUUGCUGCUGAAGUUGCUGCAUGUGCUGCAUUAAAGAACCCCAUUUAUCUGGAGAAUGUGAAAGUGGCACUGGUGCAAGAACGGGAGAGGCUAUUUAAUCUCUUGAAAGAAGUCCCAUUUCUCGAUCCAUACCCCAGCUAUUCUAAUUUCAUUCUCUGUAAGGUUAUGUCUGGCAUGGAUGCUAAGAAAUUGAAGGAGGACCUUGCGACUAUGGGAGUGAUGAUCCGUCACUACAAUAGCAAGGAACUGAAGGGAUACGUUCGUGUCUCUGUAGGCAAGCCCGAGCACACGGAGGCGUUAAUGAAAUGCCUCAAGCACUUCUAUUGAUCUUGCUGGGGUUCGGAAGUUCAAAAUCAGAAGUGACUUGUGUUCUCUUACAAUGAAGACAAAUUGGGAGUUUUGCUGUGCUAUUUAUGCUAAUUGCAAAGGAAUCAUUCUUCAGAAAUCAAUUGUUUGUAUGCUGGACCAAACAUCACCUCUUAUUGUUGUUGUUAGACAAACUGAAAUAUGGAAAUGAGGGGGUCACAGAGUUGUCUGGACUCUAAGUGUACAUUAUAUUGAAAAUUGCCAUGCAAUGGCAUUUGGUCUAUCUGAAACAACCUCUCUACCCAACAAAGGUAGGGAUAAUGUUUGCGCACACCCCACCUUCCUCAGACCCUACUUGUGAGACUA